rnacentral:rRNA from 1 species
UCCAGACUCCUACGGGAGGCAGCAGUAGGGAAUCUUCCGCAAUGGACGAAAGUCUGACGGAGCAACGCCGCGUGAGUGAUGAAGGCUUUCGGGUCGUAAAACUCUGUUGUUAGGGAAGAACAAGUGCUAGUUGAAUAAGCUGGCACCUUGACGGUACCUAACCAGAAAGCCACGGCUAACUACGUGCCAGCAGCCGCGGUAAUA